ACCUGCCCGUAAGCUCGGGAUAACAUGGGGAAACUCAUGCUAAUACCGGAUAGGGUCUUCUCUCGCAUGAGAGGAGACGGAAAGGUGGCGCAAGCUACCACUUACGGAUGGGCCUGCGGCGCAUUAGCUAGUUGGUGGGGUAACGGCCUACCAAGGCGACGAUGCGUAGCCGACCUGAGAGGGUGACCGGCCA
rnacentral:rRNA from 1 species